ensembl:lncRNA
GUUUGUGAAAGCCCCGCCCACUUUUGGAAGCCCCGCCCCCGGUGAUUGGGGGUGGGGAGGCCGAGGGGUGCUGCCGGUACCCCAGGGGCACCCAUGGGACACCCGUGGGGCACCCAUACAGCACCCACGGGGCACUGCCACCACCCAUAGGGCACCCACGGGACACCGCCACCCCCCCGUGUGGCACCCAUGGGACACCCAUACGACACCCGUGUAGCACUGCCACCACCCCGGGGCACCCAUGGGACACCGCCAUCACCCAUGGGACACCCCUGGAGCCCCCAUGGGACACCCCUGGGGCACCCAUGUGGCACUGCCACCACCCCACGGCACCCAUGGGACACCGCCAUCACCCAUGGGACAUCCCUGGGGCACCCAUGUGGCACUGCCACCACCCCACGGCACCCAUGGGACACUGCCAUCACCCAUGGGACACCCCUGGGCACCCAUGUGGCACUGCCACCACCCCAGGGGCACCCGUGUGGCACUGCCACCACCCCGGGGCACCCAUGGGACACCACCAUCACCCAUGUGGCACCCCUACGGCACCCACAUGGCACCCACGGGACACUGACACCACCCCAGGGGCACCCGUGUGGCACUGCAAGCACCCUGGGGCACCCAUGGGACACCGCCAUCACCCAUGGGACACCUCUGGAGCCCCCAUGGGACACCGAUGGGGCACCCAUGGGAUGCCGCCACCACCCAUAUGGCACCCAUGUGGCACUGCCACCACCCCGGGGCACCCAUGGGACACCGCCAUCACCCAUGUGGCACCCCUACGGCACCCACAUGGCACCCACAGGACACUGCCACCACCCCAGGGCACCCAUGUGGCACUGCCACCACCCCGGGGCACCCAUGGGACACCGCCACCACCCAUGGGACAGCUCUGGAGCCCCCAUGGGACACCAAUGGGGCACCCAUGGGAUGCUGCCACCACCCAUAUGGCACCCAUGUGGCAUUGCCACCACCCCGGGGCACCCAUGGGACACCGCCAUCACCCAUGUGGCACCCCUAUGGCACCCACAUGGCACCCACGGGACACUGCCACCACCCAUAGGGCACCCACGGGACACCGCCACCCCCCCGUGUGGUACCCAUGGGACACCCAUACAACACCCAUGUGGCACUGCCACCACCCCGGGGCACCCAUGGGACACCGCCAUCACCCAUGGGACACCCAUGGAGCCCCCAUGGGACACCCCUGGGGCACCCAUGUGGCACUGCCACCACCCCACGGCACCCAUGGGACACCGCCAUCACCCAUGUGGCACCCGUACGGCACCCACAUGGCACCCACGGGACACUGCCACCACCCCAGGGGCACCCAUGUGGCACUGCAANNNNNNNNNNNNNNNNNNNNGAGGGGUGCUGCCGGUACCCCAGGGCACCCGUGGGACACCCAUGUGGCACCCAUACAGCACCCACGGGACACUGCCACCACCCAUAGGGCACCCACGGGACACCGCCACCCCCCCGUGUGGCACCCAUGGGACACCCAUACGACACCCGUGUGGCACUGCCACCACCCCACGGCACCCAUGGGACACCGCCAUCACCCAUGGGACACCCCUGGAGCCCCCAUGGGACACCCCUGGGGCACCCAUGGGACACCCAUAUGGCACUGCCACCACCCCGGGGCACCCAUGGGACACCGCCAUCACCCAUGUGGCACCCGUACGGCACCCACAUGGCACCCACGGGACACUGCCACCACCCCAGGGGCACCCGUGUGGCACUGCAAGCACCCCGGGGCACCCGUGGGACACUGCCAUCACCCAUGUGGCACCCCUACAGCACCCACAUGGCACCCAUGGGACACCGCCAUCACCCAUGGGACACCCCUGGAGCCCCCAUGGGACACCCCUGGGGCACCCAUGGGACACCCCCGGGGCACCCAUGUGGCACUGCCACCACCCCGGGGCACCCAUGGGACACCGCCACCACCCACGUGGCACCCCUACAGCACCCACAUGGCACCCAUGGGACACCGCCAUCACCCAUGUGGCACCCCUACGGCACCCACACGGCACCCACGGGACACUGCCACCACCCCAGGGCACCCAUGUGGCACUGCAAGCACCCCGGGGCACCCAUGGGACACCGCCAUCACCCAUGGGACACCCCUGGAGCCCCCAUGGGGCACCCAUGGGACGCCGCCACCACCCCAGGGCACCCAUGUGGCACUGCCACCACCCCGGGGCACCCAUGGGACACUGCCAUCACCCAUGUGGCACCCCUAUGGCACCCAUGGGACGCCGCCACCACCCCAGGGCACCCAUGUGGCACUGCCACCACCCCGGGGCACCCAUGGGACACCGCCACCACCCAUGUGGCACCCAUGUAACACCAAUGGGGCACCCAUGGGACACCGCCACCACCCACGUGGCACCCAUGUAACACCAAUGGGGCACCCAUGGGACACCGCCACC